rnacentral:rRNA from 1 species
GAAAGAUGGUUUCGGCUAUCGCUUACAGAUGGGCCCGCGGUGCAUUAGCUAGUUGGUAGGGUAAUGGCCUACCAAGGCAACGAUGCAUAGCCGACCUGAGAGGGUGAUCGGCCACACUGGGACUGAGACACGGCCCAGACUCCUACGGGAGGCAGCAGUAGGGAAUCUUCCGCAAUGGACGAAAGUCUGACGGAGCAACGCCGCGUGUAUGAAGAAGGUUUUCGGAUCGUAAAGUACUGUUGUUAGAGAAGAACAAGGAUAAGAGUAACUGCUUGUCCCUUGACGGUAUCUAACCAGAAAGCCACGGCUAACUACGUGCCAGCAGCCGCGGUAAUACGUAGGUGGCAAGCGUUGUCCGGAUUUAUUGGGCGUAAAGCGCGCGCAGGCGGUCUUUUAAGUCUGAUGUGAAAGCCCCCGGCUUAACCGGGGAGGGUCAUUGGAAACUGGAAGACUGGAGUGCAGAAGAGGAGAGUGGAAUUCCACGUGUAGCGGUGAAAUGCGUAGAUAUGUGGAG